rnacentral:pre_miRNA from 1 species
UUAGCUCAUAUUUGUAGGGAAUGGGAUUGUUUGCGUACGUUUGCCGCUAGGGGCGCUGUUCCAACUGCAUACAAAAUUGGCUUA